rnacentral:rRNA from 1 species
UACAGAGGGGGCAAGCGUUAUUCGGAAUUAUUGGGCGUAAAGGGCGCGUAGGCGGCCUGGCAAGUGGAAGGUGAAAUCCCUCGGCUUAACCGAGGAACUGCCUCCCAAACUGCUAGGCUUGAGACCAGGAGAGGUGAGUGGAAUUCCCAGUGUAGCGGUGAAAUUCGUAGAUAUCGGGAGGAACACCAGUGGCGAAGGCGGUCGUCUGGGCAGAUACUGACGCUGAGGUGCGAAAGCGUGGGGAGCGAUCCGG